rnacentral:lncRNA from 1 species
CAAUAUACUCAAGAUAUUAUAUUUAAAAUUUUAUCGCACGAUAAUAUUUAUAUCGUUAUCGAAUAAAGACAAAAAUGAUCCCCCAUCACAUAAUAGAACACACAAUUUCACAUUGACCACACGAAUUAGAUUUCAAACAUUAUCCACGUAUAGGUUUAUUAUAUCUGCUGAACUUCAGCCACUACAUCUCCGUCGUCGUCCCUCUCUCCGCUGUGAGUUUCCUCUCUCACUUCCUCCCUCUUUCUUUAAGCCGCUCAGCCCUCUGUCUUCUCUAUCCGUUUUUUCUUCUUUCUUUCUUUCU